UCUAAAAGAACAUUUUGGGUUUGGACUUAUGGUGUCCUACACUCCUACUGCAUCUACCCCAAAGUUGAAAAUAAAAUGACACAAAUAUGAUAAGGAGAAACUCGUUUUCUUAUUCUCCUUGUUCCUCCUCCUAGAUCAUUCUCCUAUCUUCUUUCCUUUCUCCAUGUCUGUGUUCUUCUGUGUUCUUCUGUGUUCCAGUUGCUUCGAAGGUCAGAUGGUUAGACAGAAGAGGCUUUAUUGUUGGAUCUCCAAUACUCCUAGUGCCCGAUGCUCCCAAAAAGUCUGACCGGAAGUCCUAAUACUCUGAGAAAUUUUCUCGAGCUUUCCAAAUUGGCAAAAAUUGGAUAGGCAUCGGAGGAAUUCUGUACUCUUCCAGCAGAAAAUCCAACAUCAGUAGUGUGAGAUUUCGGAUACACCGUUUUGAAUUGUUUCAUAAGGAAAUGAUAUGGGUUUCAGUCCUUUUCGUCGGAAUAGUUUGGAUAUGGUCUUUUUGCCAUCUUCUCGAGAGGUUAAAUCUUGUGUCCCGUGAAAUAGGACGUCGCAUGAAAGUUCAUGUUUCAGAACCAGUUUAUUCCUAUCGGUUAACCCCUUGAAGGCUCGAAGCUUACUCAACGGCGACGUACAGUUGAAGACCAUCCAUUUGCAGGGUCGAGGCUCCUCUUACUUCACGGCACUGGCAAUAUACAUAGCAUGUCUUCCUCUUCAAGCUUCUCACCGUUACUUACUUCGACGUCUUCACCACAUUACCACGAAUUCUGCCUCCAGGGCCUUUAGGGAUUCUCUGCUAUGGCGCCACCCGUUUGAUAUGUUCCAGUAAGAGGAGAUUCACGGCUGGGAGCUUGACCUUUCUGUGAUUUCAGUGGCCAGAGAGAGUAUUUCGGCCUCUCCAAGCUUGAGAAACAAAACCCAGGUUGGUUCUUAUAUGAGAGAUGAUGCACUAAAAGCCAGUUACAGAGAUGGGUUAUCUGGCAUCUUGGUCGAUUUAUUCAGUAGGUUUGUCUGGUGCCCAAGCUUGUGGAACCCAGAACAUGGGAGAAACUGAAGAGAAGUCUGAGGAAAAGGGGAAGGAAUAUGGUGCACGUUGGUGGGAGUUAUGUGGAAGCCAAGGACCCUUUGGAGAGAUGGAAAAUUGGUCAUUGUAGAGUCUCUGUCUCUCUGAAAGCAAUCAAUCAGGUCUUUCAAUCCAAAUGUCCAUUCUGAACCUCAGAUAUCGGAAAGAGGAAAUUCCAAUGCUGCCGAGAUCCCAGAGGUUUUAUGUGGACAAGGAACAUAGAAGAACAGGGUCAACAGAGCAAAAAGUAGCAAUGACCUCUCAACAUGGCAUGGGAAUUGCAGUGGAAUAGAUUGUUCCAAGCAUGUCUGGUCCUUGGUGGAUUCAACUUAUUCAGGUCUUCAUAAAGAGUAGGGAGAUCACAGAUUGGUCUGCAAGAGCAUAUCAAUGCUUGACAAAGGGCUACAAGAAGCAACUUUGUCUGACACCAAGAGAAGUCCUUUCCCAUGAAUGUAUGGAACUCAAGACAUUCUACCUAAUCCUGCUAUAACAAAUAAAAGGGUAUGGGAUGUUUGGAUUGCAUGGAGUUCCUCAUGACACCACUUUGACAUGUAGGUUUUCAGGAGCAGGAAAAGCUGCAUUUGGGUGCUUAACAAAGAGACCCUUCCAGGAAACUCUUGGCUUGUAGGGUUGGCUCCAUUGGCCCAGCUACUGUCAAAAAUACCAGAAUGCCAAGCACCUAAGCUUCUUCUCGCAGACAAACUUCAAGUGUUGACUUACGGAAAGUUAUUUAUUGACUAUAUCACAGUUGAGAGUAUUUCAGUGGGAAAGACAGGAUAAGUAGAGGAUGUUCAAUAAAUAGCAGAAUCACCUUCAGAUUUUUCAAGCCUCUUACACCUACAGGAAGCAUACGUGGUAGAUUGUCUUCCAGCUAUUGCUCAAUUUGUCUUAUUUAUAAUCAACUUAAAGUGAUAUCUCAUUUCAUCU